CCUACGGGAGGCUGCAGUAGGGAAUCUUCCACAAUGGGCGAAAGCCUGAUGGAGCAACGCCGCGUGGGUGAAGAAGGUCUUCGGAUCGUAAAACCCUGUUGUUAGAGAAGACAGUGCGUGAGAGUAACUGUUCACGUUUCGACGGUAUCUAACCAGAAAGCAACGGCUAACUACGUGCCAGCAGCCGCGGUAAUACGUAGGUGGCAAGCGUUAUCCGGAUUUAUUGGGCGUAAAGGGAACGCAGGCGGUCUUUUAAGUCUGAUGUGAAAGCCUUCGGCUUAACCGGAGUAGUGCAUUGGAAACUGGGAGACUUGAGUGCAGAAGAGGAGAGUGGAACUCCAUGUGUAGCGGUGAAAGGCGUAGAUAUAUGGAAGAACACCAGUGGCGAAAGCGGCUCUCUGGUCUGUAACUGACGCUGAGGUUCGAAAGCGUGGGUAGCAAACAGGAUUAGAUACCCCAGUAGUC
rnacentral:rRNA from 1 species